rnacentral:rRNA from 1 species
CCUACGGGAGGCAGCAGUGGGGAAUUUUGGACAAUGGGCGAAAGCCUGAUCCAGCAAUGCCGCGUGAGUGAAGAAGGCCUUCGGGUUGUAAAGCUCUUUUGUCAGGGAAGAAACGGUGAGAGCUAAUAUCUUUUGCUAAUGACGGUACCUGAAGAAUAAGCACCGGCUAACUACGUGCCAGCAGCCGCGGUAAUACGUAGGGUGCAAGCGUUAAUCGGAAUUACUGGGCGUAAAGCGUGCGCAGGCGGUUUUGUAAGUCUGAUGUGAAAUCCCCGGGCUCAACCUGGGAAUUGCAUUGGAGACUGCAAGGCUAGAAUCUGGCAGAGGGGGGUAGAAUUCCACGUGUAGCAGUGAAAUGCGUAGAUAUGUGGAGGAACACCGAUGGCGAAGGCAGCCCCCUGGGUCAAGAUUGACGCUCAUGCACGAAAGCGUGGGGAGCAAACAGGAUUAGAUACCCUGGUAGUCCACGCCCUAAACGAUGUCUACUAGUUGUCGGGUCUUAAUUGACUUGGUAACGCAGCUAACGCGUGAAGUAGACCGCCUGGGGAGUACGGUCGCAAGAUUAAAACUCAAAGGAUUGACGG